UACGUAGGUGGCAAGCGUUUGUCCGGAUUUAUUGGGUUUAAAGGGUGCGUAGGCGGUCUUUUUAAGUCAGUGCUGAAAUAUCCCGGCUUAACCGGGAGGGUGGCAUUGAUACUGAAGGACUUGAGUACAGUCGAGGUAGGCGGAAUUGACGGUGUAGCGGUGAAAUGCUUAGAUAUCGUCAAGAACACCGAUAGUGUAGACAGCUUACUAGGCUGAAACUGACGCUGAGGCACGAAAGUGUGGGGAUCAAAACAGG
rnacentral:rRNA from 1 species